AGUGAACGCUGGCGGCAGGCCUAACACAUGCAAGUCGAGCGGCAGCGCGUCCGACCACCCUCGGGUGGUCGGGUGCCGGCGAGUGGCGAACGGGUGAGUAAUAUAUCGGAACGUACCUUUCAGUGGGGGAUAACGUAGCGAAAGUUACGCUAAUACCGCAUAUUCUGUGAGCAGGAAAGCAGGGGAUCGCAAGACCUUGCGCUGAUUGAGCGGCCGAUAUCAGAUUAGCUAGUUGGUGAGGUAAAGGCUCACCAAGGCGACGAUCUGUAGCGGGUCUGAGAGGAUGAUCGCCACACUGGAACUGAGACACGGUCCAGACUCCUACGGGAGGCAGCAGUGGGGAAUUUUGGACAAUGGGCGCAAGCCUGAUCCAGCCAUGCCGCGUGAGUGAAGAAGGCCUC
rnacentral:rRNA from 1 species